UACCAGCACCCCGAGUGGUCGGGACGAUUAUUGGGGCCUAAAGCAUCCGUAGCCGGUUCUACAAGUCUUCCGUUAAAUCCACCUGCUUAACAGAUGGGCUGCGGAGGAUACUAUAAGACUAGGAGGCAGGAGAGGCAAGCGGUACUCAGUGGGUAGGGGUAAAAUCCAUUGAUCCAUUGAAGAUCACCAGUGGCGAAGGCGGCUUGCCAGAAUGCGCUCGACGGUGAGGGAUGAAAGCUGGGGGAGCAAACCGG
rnacentral:rRNA from 1 species